rnacentral:rRNA from 1 species
AUUGAACGCUGGCGGCAGGCCUAACACAUGCAAGUCGAGCGGAGCGGCAGACGGGUGAGUAAUGCCUAGGAAUCUGCCUGGUAGUGGGGGAUAACGUGCGGAAACGGGAGCUAAUACCGCAUACUAUCAGAUGAGCCUCGGUCGGGUUAGCUUUUUGGUGGGGUAAAGGCAUACCAAGGCGACGAUCCCUAAAUGGUCUGAGAGGAUGAUCAGUCACACUGGAACUGAGACACGGUCCAGACUCCUACGGGAGGCAGCAGUGGGGAAUAUUGGACAAUGGGCGAAAGCCUGAUCCAGCCAUGCCGCGUGUGUGAAGAAGGUCUUCGGAUUGUAAAGCACUUUAAGUUGGGAGGCGUUACCAACAGAAUAAGCACCGGCUAACUUCGUGCCAGCAGCCGCGGUAAUUC